rnacentral:lncRNA from 10 species
GCUCUUCACAGCAGAAAGGUGCCUGUCAGCCUCUUACUCCUCUUGGCUCUACUCCAGUGAGCCAUCCCUCUCUACUACCCUUUCCACUUCCUGGCAGCUGGAUGAGGAGGCUGGAAGCCAGUGGCAAACUGUGGCACCUGGCUGUUUGGUCUGCCAUUAAUGACAGCCCCUGCUGAAUCAUGACUCAAUAGCAGUACUUUUUCUUCAAAAGCGUUCAAGUGGAAGCAGACUGAAAGCGUAGAGGGAGGUUAGUGAACUUCUUCUGGCCUGUUCAUCGGACCCUUGCAUUUAGAAAAUAACGGUGCCACACUGGAGAAGGUAAGGAGAAGGGGAAGAAAAGGUUUGUUUGAUUGCUGCAAAAUUACAUAAUGUGCAUACCAUCUGAACUUCUUAUGAAACAAAAACAAAGAAAGAAAGAAAAAGAAUGCUAUGACUACCCAGCAACAUUAUCACUCUCCAGUUUUCAUCUUUGAUUGACUAUUGCUCAGUGGUGAUUUGACCUCUUCCCCUUCCCCUUUCCUCCUGUGAAUUUUCCCCCCAUGG